CCUACGGGAGGCAGCAGUGAGGAAUAUUGGUCAAUGGGCGAGAGCCUGAACCAGCCAAGUCGCGUGAGGGAAGACGGUCCUAUGGAUUGUAAACCUCUUUUGUCGGGGAGCAAAAGACGCCACGCGUGGCGUUCCGAGAGUACCCGAAGAAAAAGCAUCGGCUAACUCCGUGCCAGCAGCCGCGGUAAUACGGAGGAUGCGAGCGUUAUCCGGAUUUAUUGGGUUUAAAGGGUGCGUAGGCGGACGAUUAAGUCAGCGGUAAAAUUGAGGGGCUCAACCCCUUCGAGCCGUUGAAACUGGGUGACGUGAGUGGGCGAGAAGUAUGCGGAAUGCGUGGUGUAGCGGUGAAAUGCAUAGAUAUCGCGCAGAACUCCGAUUGCGAAGGCAGCGUACCGGCGCUCAACUGACGCUGAGGCACGAAAGUGUGGGUAUUGAACAGGAUUAGAUACCCGAGUAGUC
rnacentral:rRNA from 1 species